UUUUAAUAGUUUAAAUAAAAUAUUGGUUUUGUAAACCAAAGAUAAUAUUAUUUUUAAAACUU
rnacentral:tRNA from 1 species